rnacentral:rRNA from 1 species
AGAGUUUGAUCCUGGCUCAGAUUGAACGCUGGCGGCAUGCUUUACACAUGCAAGUCGAACGGUAACAGGUCUUCGGAUGCUGACGAGUGGCGAACGGGUGAGUAAUGCAUCGGAACGUGCCCAGUCGUGGGGGAUAACGCAGCGAAAGCUGUGCUAAUACCGCAUACGAUCUAUGGAUGAAAGCGAGGGACCGUAAGGCCUCGCGCGAUUGGAGCGGCCGAUGUCAGAUUAGCUAGUUGGUGGGGUAAAGGCCCACCAAGGCGACGAUCUGUAGCUGGUCUGAGAGGACGACCAGCCACACUGGGACUGAGACACGGCCCAGACUCCUACGGGAGGCAGCAGUGGGGAAUUUUGGACAAUGGGCGCAAGCCUGAUCCAGCAAUGCCGCGUGCAGGAAGAAGGCCUUCGGGUUGUAAACUGCUUUUGUACGGAACGAAAAGGUUCGGGUUAAUACCCUGGGCUCAUGACGGUACCGUAAGAAUAAGCACCGGCUAACUACGUGCCAGCAGCCGCGGUAAUACGUAGGGUGCAAGCGUUAAUCGGAAUUACUGGGCGUAAAGCGUGCGCAGGCGGUUUUGUAAGACAGGCGUGAAAUCCCCGGGCUCAACCUGGGAAUGGCGCUUGUGACUGCAAAGCUGGAGUGCGGCAGAGGGGGAUGGAAUUCCGCGUGUAGCAGUGAAAUGCGUAGAUAUGCGGAGGAACACCAAUGGCGAAGGCAAUCCCCUGGGCCUGCACUGACGCUCAUGCACGAAAGCGUGGGGGAGCAACAAGGAUUAGAUACCCUGGUAGUCCACGCCCUAAAACGAUGUCAACUGGUUGUUGGUCCUUAACUGCAUCAGUAACGAACCUAACGGCGUG